rnacentral:tRNA from 1 species
GCCGCCGUAGCUCAGUGGUAGAGCGUCGGACGCAUUAUUCUAAGGUCGCAGGUUCGGUCCCUGCCGGCGGCG